UUCCCCCCCGUGCCUCAGCCCCUGGCCAGGCCAGCAUGGAGCCUGGCCAGGGAGCCCAGGCAGUUGUGGGAGCGGCAUAGACUCUCCACCUGCCUGCGGUGUGGCGGGGCUGAGAGCAGCCCCUGGCCCAUGUCUCUGGCCCCCAGGCUCCCUGCCCAGCCCAAGGCAGGUGGAGGGUCCGUGACUCCGUGCCAGCUCACCAGAGGUGCCCGCACAGCUCUCCCCAACCCGGCUUCGGCCAGAGGGGGGGGCCUUGGAGCCACAGAAAAGUCUGGGAUGGAGUGUAUAAACCCAGCACAAGAACUGAAGAGGUUAAGGAGCAACUCUGGGCCCAGCCGACCCAGCUCAGCCACACCCGCAACGCAUACUCCAGAUGGAGGUAGAGCUUAAAAGGGAGCCAGACAGCACAGAAGGAGGCUGACAAGGCAGGGUGAAGGACCUGCCCUGAGAACUCCUGAGGAAGGGUGCUACAAGAAUCUUCUGGAGAGGAAGGGCCUGCCUGCUGAGCCCAGAGGGACUGAAGAGUCAACUGGAAAUCUGUCACACAGGGAGAGAGAGAGGACUAAGUGGUAAACUGACCAGAGGAUCAAACCAUCCACAACAGAAGAUAGACCGACAUCAGGUGUGGAGGUGGUCCAGGGGCCUAACUACUAGACGAUGCCACCAGCAGACACCAUCCGUCACAAAGUCUAAGUGAACAUUUGAGGUUGGCAUGGUGAGAAAAAAGGACAUUUAGUAUUGGAACUAUAUAUAUAUACAUAUAUGAACUUUAUUAUUAAAACAAUGGUCUGAGGUGCACAUUAUCAAUACUGUACAGGCGAAGAAGAGAAGAUGGUAAAUCGGCAUAUCUAUGAGGUGGAGUUUGGUUGUCUUGCUUGAGAAGUAUUUGGUUCUUGUGCUGUAGAGCAAGCACACGUGGGGGUAAAGAGCAUAGGUGCCUCUUACUCC